rnacentral:rRNA from 1 species
CAGCCGCCGCGGGAAUACGAAGGGGGCUAGCGUUGUUCGGAAUUACUGGGCGUAAAGGGCGCGUAGGCGGCCAUUCAAGUUAGAUGUGAAAGCCCUGGGCUCAACCUAGGAAUUGCAUUUGAUACUGUUUGGCUUGAGUUCGGGAGAGGUGAGUGGAAUUCCCAGUGUAGAGGUGAAAUUCGUAGAUAUUGGGAAGAACACCAGUGGCGAAGGCGGCUCACUGGACCGACACUGGCGCUGAGGCGCGAAAGCGUGGGGAGCAAACAGGAUUAGAUACCCCGGUAGUCCCUGUCUCUUAUAA